rnacentral:rRNA from 1 species
UACGAGGGGGGCGAGCGUUGUUCGGAAUUAUUGGGCGUAAAGGGUGCGUAGGCGGUUCCGCAAGUCCUGUGUGAAAUCUUCGGGCUCAACUCGAAGUCUGCACGGGAAACUGCGGGGCUUGAGUGUGGGAGAGGUGAGCGGAAUUUCCGGUGUAGCGGUGAAAUGCGUAGAUAUCGGAAGGAACACCAGUGGCGAAAGCGGCUUCCUGGUCCGACACCGACGUUCAGGCACGAAAGCGUGGGGAGCAAACAGG